AUGUACAAUUAGUGAAAAGAGGCCAUGGAUUUGAAGGAGAAUGGGGAGGGGUUAAGAGAGCGUUUGGAGGGAGGAAAGGGAAGGAAGAAUUGUUGAUUAUGUUAUAAUCUCAAAAUUAAAAUGGAAGAAUGGAUGAAGAAAGUGUGGAAUAUAUACACAUUAGAAUACUACUCAGCAGUAAAAAACAAUGACUUCUCGAAUUUUGCAUGCAAAUGGAUGGAAAUAGAACACACUAUCCUGAGUGAGGUAACCCAGACCCAAAAAGAUGAACUUGGGAUGUACUCACUCAUAAUUGGUUUCUAGAGAUAAAUAAAGAACCUUCAUCUGGAGAUGGAUGGAGAUAGAGACAGAGACCCACACUGGAGCACUGGACUGAGCUCCCAAUGUCCCAAGGAGGAGCAGAAGGAGGGAAAAUAUGAGCAAAGAAGUCAGGACCACGAGGGGUGCACCCACCCACGGAGACAGUGGGGCUGAUCUAUUGUGAGCUCACCAAGGUCAGCUGGACUACGACUGAAAAACCAUGGGAUAAAACCGGACUCUCUGAAUAUGGCGGACAAUGAGGGCUGCUGAGAAGCCAAGGACAAUGCCACUGGGUUUUGAUCCUACUUUAUAUUCUGGCUUUGUGGGAGCCUAGCCAGUUUGGAUGUCCACCUUCCUAGACCAAGAUGGAGCGGGGAGGACUUUGGACUUUCCACAGGGCAGGGAACCCUGACUGCCCCUCAGACUGGAGAGGGAGGGGGAGAGGAGUGGGGGGGAGGGGGAGAGGAGAGGGAGGAGGGGGGAAAAGGGAGACGGGGAGGGAAAUGGGAGGCGGGGAGGAGGCGGAAAUCUUUUUUUUUUUUCAAUAAAAAAAUUAUAUUUAAAAAAAAAUGAAAAUAGUAGUGGGAGAGGAAGGAGACUUUCAAGUACUAAAGAACUGUGAGACAUAUCAACACAGCAGCAAACAGGCUCUUUCAGUCUUUAAUAUUAUCACGCAAUAUCACAUAAUACAUACAUUAGCUAUUUUUAAACCAGGUGUGGUCGCAUGCCUAUAAUCCCGACAUUUGGGAGGUGGCAAGAGGGAGAGCAGUCGUUCAAGUUCAUCCUUAACGACACAGCAGUCAACUACAGAGCAAGUGCAAAAAAAGAAAAGAAGAAGGGAGGGAGGAGGGAGGGAGGGAGAUAGCUGGACAGAUGGAAGGAAGGAAGGAAGGAAGGGAGGAAGGAAGGAAGGAAGGAAGGAAGGAAGGAAGGAAGGAAGGAAGGAAGGAAGGAAGGAAGGAGAGCAGCCCCACAUCACCAGGGAAAUACAUACUUAGAAAAAAAAAAAAACAUCCACUAACCUGGAGAGACUGAUAAAAAUGGACAAAUACCAAGAUUGACAAAUGAGUGGGAAAACACUUCUUCAGCAACUGCUAGAAAAUACAAAAUAAGGGAAAUUUAGGGAAACAGUUUGGGAGAUCCUUAAAGGCUUCAUAUAAUACGCUCCACACACAGCAAGAAUCGGCCUGUAUCCUAUGCAUUUACCCAAAAGAAAGUAAUGCAUAUGUCCAUAAACGGAAUGGGUCGCUUGUACAAAGCAGCUUUAUUCAUAAAGCAAAACUUGAAACAACCUAAGAGUUCAUCUUCACCAGCAGUUAAACACACUGUGGUGUAUUCCUACAAGAGGAUACUAGAGGAACAGAACAGAACAGAAAGUGUUGCUCACGUGUAAAAAUCAGGGAUCAAUCUGAGCAUGGAAGAACAAAAUGCACUGUUCUAAUCAAAAUAUGCCAGACAUGAGAGUACAUACUGUGUGAUCUAUUCAUUUAUAAUUUCACAAAAAAAGAAAAAUCUAAUUUAUAGUCACAGAAAGCAGAUAGGUCACUGAAUAGAGCAGGGUACGGGGGGGGGGGGGAGAAGAGGUGAACUAGACACUUCCGAUUUGUAGAGACCUUUUGGGUGGGCACAGUGGCGGGCAGAGAUAAGCAGAUAUUCACACGUUAGUCGAGAACUUUUCAAACUGCAAACUUACAGCGGCUGCCUUUUCCUCUGUCUGAAUGAUCAUCGUGUAAGAAAACCUCACCCGCGUUCCUUCCUUCAGCCUUGUGGUUUACUACUAUUCCCAGGCAGCAGACUUUAAAAUAGUAUAAGCAAAAUUUCCUGGUGCCUUGUAACACACAUUAUUCAUUUUCAAUAAAAUCUCCACAACUUAAAAAAAGAUUAGGACUUUGACAUUUUGCUUCUGCUAAAUUUCAUACUUAAUUUGAAAUAAAUUCAAAUCUUUGUUAGGGCUUAAGGGAGUCCUAAACAAUCUGUGCUCCCUCGUGGCCUAACGACCCAAGAGACAAGUCGGGGACACAGAGAUGACACCAAAUGACAGCAUAUAAUGACCGAGUAAUACUGAACCCAGACCUAGAGAGGCCUCGCUGAGCUAUGGGCAGCUCUGAAGCAAAGGCUUCCCCUUUCCUGCAAGAUUCACAAUGUAGCUGAAAGGAGGCUUGACCAACGCAGAGAAAAGGGAGAAAGGGACCAGCGUGUCCAGCCCUGUUUCCCACGCUCCUUCCUCUCCUUGGAAGGUGGGAGGGGAUCAGGAUUUCCCAAGAAACUGCCCAUUUUAUCAGCUGUCCACGGCUCUCCAAGUACAACACAGGCAGCUCACACCUAACACUCACGGAGGCACUGUGCACUCGCUGCAGGGUCACUGUGGCUCUUGCAUUCGUAGUGGCCCAACUCAACUGCAUGUGGCUAAGGUCCGUGACUUCAUAUAUAUCUCCUUCAUUUCAUUUUAACUUCCAUGGGUCGAGAGGCCAUUCACAAACCGUCAUGCUUUCUUACUGGUUGAAAAGAGUUUCUGUAUGCUAACGUGGCACCAAUCAGCGACUCCUUUGUUGGGUUGAAGUCAUCUUAGAAAAUCACAUUCUAACACACACACUGAAGACAAUGAUGAUGAUGGUGGUUCUUGUGUUCACUCCUAACUCAUCCAGACGCAGGCUAUGUCGUGAAACCACAGCCUAGAGUGUCUAUCACCAAGCGGGUUUUGAAGGGUUUCCCACAGAAGGGAAUUAAAGAGCUGAUUAAUAAUUCCCUUACUGCAAAAAAGGGGAGCCAGCCCGUGAGUCGCUGCGUGAAGCAUAAUCUGCAAACCGACGGGGCCGCGUGGUCCUGCUAACAAUUGUGGAAGUAUCGGUUUUCUAAGACAAUCCCUCUAACUCAUCAGUUUUAGCCAAACAACAAGAGCAAUCUAGAAUACUUGCGUGCUUACGCCGUCACCAUCCUUUGUUGUCCAUGGGCCCCAGCUGUAGUAGAUAGGAGUUCUGAAAUGCCUCCCGCAUAACUUAAUUUAAAAUACAACACUUUAUCACCCAGGCGCCUGCAUUCUAGAGAUUAACAGGAGUCUCAAGUUUUCAGGUAUGGUCUCUAUUCUCAUUCUCUUAACAAGUAUCUAUACCGUACAAUUUUGAAACUAGAACCAUACAAAUCAUAUUCGAUAUAAUUUUAACACUAAUACUGUUGCUUAAGAUAAUUAAACAUAAUUAUAUCAUUAUCAUGAGUGUCAUUUUCCUCCAGGUUCAUAAGAACACAUUAUUCUAAUUAACAAGCUCAGUGAACUUCUACAUACAAUUCCUCACAUCCCAGCAAAAUAACCAAUGCAGUUUUCUCUUCCUACAUGGAAGUGUUAGCUAAAGUACCUUUGGUGGUCUGGAAAAGUGAGCCUUUCUCCAUAACUAAGUCUUCCUUUUCCUCCUCAUCUUGUCUAUUUUGCAUCUUAGAUCUGAGUAAUAAAGAGACUAGCAUGACCCACUAACACCAAAACAGUUGAGACAACAGGCUUAGCGGUCUGGAAGCAGCACGCAGGCCACGUACAGUAGUCUUGCCUAUUUUGAGGUUGAGGCACAGACUCCAUGCCAAGAGCAAUCUGUAACUGACAGCUGCCUUUCAGUAUCACAAGCCGUGACUUCAUUCAGAUAAAAGGUUAUGAAAAAAAUCUUUCCUAAAAUCAGAAGGAAGUGAGAGGAAGUAUUCCCAAACUAAGACAAGUUCUUCCCAGAAAUGGCUAGCACUGACUAAGCAGUGCACGUGGGGAACCAUACAGAUGUUUCAUGUAUACUUUUACACACAGAAAAAUAAAAUCUACCUAAUUCUCAAAAUCGAAGAGGAAAAUGUCCAAGACACAUGGAAAAGGCUAUUCUUUCACAAGUUACACAAUAAACAGAUAUCCAUAUGUAAUGUAGCAACUGUGACGUACUCACCUCUCUAGCCAUCUGUCCUCUGAGAAUAUCCCUUGCUAUUUAACAAAGUGCCUUUUUUCACUCAUUCUAAAGCUGACCUCUCUCUCCAUCCAGGGCUUAUUUCUGGAUGAUAGACUUUAGGGGGAUAUAACACUAUUUAAAACUGACCUCUCUCUCCAUCCAUGGCUUAUUUCCGGAUGAUAGAAUUUAGGGGGACAUAACACUAUUUAAAGUAACGGCUGAUUUCUCCAACCGGAAAGAAAAAAAAAAUGAACAUUCCCCUAAAAUACCUUCUAAAACAUAUCAUCCUCACAAAAAUGCUGCCCAUAAUUACAUGUUCCAGCUGGUUUUGUUAAGAUUUCACAACACAACAGAAAUAACUUUCAUCUCUAAUGGGAAAAAAUACAUCAAUUAUAUCAGGAAGAACAGCACCUGACAGUUGUGUACGUUUUGUUUGUACUACAAUAUACAUAAUAGAAACAGUCACCCACGGGAAUAAUAGUAUUGGUUUGUAACUGUGAACGAGGAUUUUUAAUAAGCUUUUUUCUUUGGUUGCUUUAUUUUCCACUGUUUUUGUUUUGUUCUGAGGCAAGGUCUUACCACGUGUCUCCCCGGCUGGCCGUGAGUUCACGCGUCCUCUGCCUUGCCUUCGACAGGGCCGGGAUGAGAGGCAUCUGCUUCCUUGCCACACCUGCUGCACACGUGGAAUUACACUACCAAUCACAUUCCAGUUCCCUGCUUGUCAGUCAUAGACCGACACCCUAAUAAUACCAGUGCCUUUUUCCUUUAAAGUCUGCUAUUUUACACCGGUGUGAAACUGUGUAACUAUUUUCUCAUUUCAUUGACUACUUCCACAAAAGCAUCUUUGGAAAGACAUUUAUAAACUGUCCACUGCAAAGUUACAAGCGAGAAGUACUCAUCAGCUGUGGCAGCCCCCGCCUGUAUUCCCAGUAGUCCCGGAUGCCAAGGCAGGAAGAGCCUUGAGGCUAGCCUGAGUUAAAAAGGAAAACCUGUCUUACUAUUUGUUUGUUGGGCUCUGCAUACUUGUAAAAAUCAGAAAAGAAAUAGGAGGAUUUUGCUCAGCAACAGAGGUACUAGUCUAGCAUGCUGGGGGCCUAGCUACAUCCUCCCCUGUAAAAGGAAAAAAGGAAAGAAACUCUGUUUUGACCAAGAUAAUGUAAUUGUAGAAUUUACUGACAAUCUCCAAAUGCCAUUCACCUUUACAAAUGAAUGACUUGUGACAAAGAUGACUUGACCUUGACAAUGAAAUGAAAGGUCACUCUGACAUCAGUAUUCACAGUUAGCAAGUACUGAAGAAAACAGUUACCUCCUUUUAACUUUAAAGUCAAAACAUAAGCACAAUUAGAACAAAAAUUCAAGGAAAUGUUCAGGAUACACACAUCUGCAUGCAUUUUUAGGCAAACUUCCAAAUAUAUCAAAUACAACCAAACGAUAACUUUGAAUCAAGAUGAAUGUCAGAAAUAUUUAAGCUUGCACUAGUGCAGCAAGGAAAAUGGAAAAAGACAAAUGGCAGAUUUCUAGGAGGGAGAGAAAUCACACGCUUCCUUUAUCAUAGAACAAAAGUCUGCAAGUCUACAUUGUAAUAACACCGCCUGUCAAGUGAAUCUCUAUUCAAGAACACAAUUUCCAAAUUGUAUCUUCAAAUGUCCUCUCCCAACAGUCCAAUCAAAUGCUCAACAGUCAAAACACAUUUCACUUAAGAUGCGAACCUUAAGUAUAAUUUUCUCUCAUCCAAUCACUAAAGAAUUCCACUACUUGAUUUUUAUAUGCUUCAUCUGAAAAACUCAAGUUUUGCCCUCCUCCUCCAAGGUGGAUAUCGAAUGUCAUCUAAGCAUUAAGUAGCAACCAAAACCAAACAAAAAAAAAAAAAACCUAGAUUCAAACAUCUUUUCACCGC